rnacentral:rRNA from 1 species
CAGUCGCCACGGUAAAACCGAGGAUGCAAGCGUUAUCCGUAAUGAUUGGGUGUAAAGGGUGUGCAGACGGCUUAUUAAGUCACUUGUUAAAUUCUUCGGCCUAACUGAAGGUCUGCAAGUGAUACUGAUGAGCUAGAGGGUGGAAGAGAGAAGUGGAAUUCUCGGAGUAGCGGUAAAAUGCGUAGAUCUCGAGAGGAACACCAAUGGCGAAGGCAGCUUCUUGGUCCAUUCCUGACGUUCAUACACGAAAGCGUGGGGAGCAAACAGGAUUAGAUACCCCAGUAGUCCCUGUCUCUUAUAC